CGAGCUCAAAAAUUGACAAAAUCAAACACAAUUGCAAUUAUCACAUAUAACAACAAACACCUACUUAAUACGAAGAAAACAUGCAAAAUUGUAGAGAGAGAAAGAAGGGCGAAUUCCUUACUGCUGACCCUCGUCGAAAGCGGGAGGAGGAGCUUCCUCGCCGUUGUAGUGGGCCACCAGUGUGUCGAAGCAGUACACCACCAUCUCCCUAUUCGCCGACACCAUCUUCGUUUUUUUUCCAAAAUUAAUUCACACCGUGUCACAAGACAGAUACUCAAUCGAUUAAAUUCCACCGAUCUAGCUACGAUCGGUUAGCAAGUGAAGAAGGGGGUGAAAAUCGAAUCGAACUAGGGUUUGAGAGAGGAAAUUUCUUCGGUGAAGGAAUGGAGAUGGAGUGUGUGGGGGGACUCUCUUUCUUCCUUUUUUUGCGGUUUGGUUCCCAGAAUAAUUGAAUUAACGGUGGGUGGGGCUCUGUGCCUCUACAUAUAUAUAUAUAUAUAUAUAUAUAUAUAUAUAUAUAUAUAUAUAUAUAUAUACACUAAUAAAAUAUUUGUUUAUUUUAUAUUAUUAUUUAUAAUAUAUUUGACAAGAUAAUAUUAUUUAGUGUUUAGAAAAUUCCAUUAGCCAAAGUAGAAUAUAAUAAUACCAUAUUAAUCUCUCAACUAAACUAACCAAAGUAAAAUACAAUUGAGGUACAAUACAAGUCUUGCCAAAGCUAAAAACAAGUUUCAACAUCUUCAUGAAAAUCGAAAUAAAAAUCGAACACAGAAAAAUCCGAGUUUCCAUCGCACGAACAAAUAACACGAAUACAUAGUUAUACAGGAUCGGAGAAAAGCAGCAAUUACACAUGGUGAUGCCACAUAGGCAUAAUAAUAUUCCUUAACUAGGUUUUUUGUCAAUCGGAAUCAUGUCUUCUUUUCUCCUUGUGUUUUUUGUCAAUAGAAAUCACAUUUGAAAUUCUCAAGAUAAUAAAAUUGGCCCGAUCAGAUGGAAACAAACUAAGGUUCAAAAAAUUGAAAAGUCAAAUAACAAAUUGUUGUACCCUAUCAUGAAAAAUCCAUGGGACAAAUAGAAUACAAUUAUAUGCAAGAAAAAGAAGUAUAGUCUUAUUGUUUCAUAGUUGUGCUUCUCUAAUGAAAACCGAAGGGGUGUUGAAGCAUACUUGGCGGUGGGUGUGGGCGGGGGUACCCAUAUCGGGGCGGCUCCUCCCCGUAAUACCCUGGGUAAAUGUACGAUUCCGCCCCAUAAGGACCAUAGCCACUAUGGAAUGGUAAACCCCCAAACCAUGAAGAACUGUCCGCAGGUACCCUAUCGAUUAUUUUACGCAUUUUAGGGUGUAUUUUGCAGUAAAAAUCUCUGCACACCCGCGGGUCAAUAUUUGGGGCCACGUAAGCUUCGCAUUUAUGCGCUUCUUCUUCCUUCUUAUUCUCCUCUUUCUUCUGAUAAUGGCGCCCGUCCUGGCAGCAGCAGUUUUUGUGGGAUUUUUGUCCCUUUUCUCGAGAAGUUGAAUACUUCUUGUCUCUGCCUUGUCUUGUUGUGUGCUCGUGUAUUUUUUCCUCCGUAUCUUGGUUGUUUGGCAAGAGUCGGACUUCCUUUCCUAGAUUGGAAACUCUGUCUAACAAUGUCGUUGGGUCGAUUUUCCCUGUCACGAAUACUAGUCCCUUUUCUGUGUCGAUAGAUACAGAAUCAACCCCUUGGUAUACAAAAAGGAAUUUGAUAGAUUAGUCGGUUAACAAUAGAUAAUCAAGAUUAAAGCAAUCAGUUUCGAUUAUGAAGGAUUAUGUCAUAGUAUUUGAUUUUUUACCCUAAAGAAUGGAUUACUUCAUGCUACAUCGAGUGAAAUAUAUCGAUGAUCUUUAACAUUCAUUUUUUCACACUAAAACACAUGCAUCUAUGUUGGUUUUUUUUUUUUUUUAAUGUUUAAUAGUUUCUUGCUCUUUCGACGAAAUGAAAAUCCGUAAUCGUAAAGACUGGUACCGGAAGUUUUGAGAAGCGAAAUAAAUCAUAAAUGAAUGGGCACAUUUUCUUACCAGGCAUUCGUAGUAAUAUAUUCUCCAAUAUGUUGGGGCAUUUUCCACAGCAUGUUAAAUCUAUGGACAGAACCUUUGUCUGCAGGAAAAAAAAAUCAUUUCUUAAAUUACGAAAUCAUGAAAUCAUUAAUUAAUUUAAUAAAAUAAACUUACAUGAUUAGGAGGGUGGUUUUCCAUUGAUGAAGAAAGACUGUUGAAAAUUAGGCAGAGAACAACUAAACCAACUAGGUUUUAUAGAAGAGAGAACAAAUGAAGGGUUUUUAUUAUUAUUAUUUAUUUAUUAUAAUUAUCCUUUUAGACACUACAAAAUUCCCUAAAUUCCUCACUCGGUUUGAAUGCAUAAUUAAAUGAAAUUGCCUUGUGAAGAUUGUAUAUGAAUGGAAACCGAAUAUUUAGUAAUACUAAUUAAUUGUUUAUAUGAAUUGAAAACUGAUGUGCAUAUAUAUAUAUAUAUAUAUAUAUACAGCAGCAACUAUAUAACGAGCUCAGAAAUUACAUAAAAUUGCAAACAUCACACUAAAUCCACCAAAAAACGAGCUCAGAAAUUGAAAAAAUCAAACACAAUUGCCCUUAGCACAUAUAAUAACAAACGCUUACUUAAGACGAAGAAAACAUGCAAAAUUAUAGAGAGAGAAAGAGGGGCGAAUUCCUUACUGCUGACCCUCGUCGAAAGCGGGAGGAGGAGCUCCCUCGCCAUUGUAGUUGGCCACCAGUGUGUCGAAGCAGUACACCACCAUCUCCCUAUUCGCCGACACCAUCUUCGUUUGUUUCCAAAAUUAAUUCACC
rnacentral:lncRNA from 1 species